rnacentral:rRNA from 1 species
GACGAACCGAGCGAACGUUGUUCGGAAUCACUGGGCUUAAAGGGCGCGUAGGCGGGUGCUCAAGUCCGGGGUGAAAUCCUCCAGCUCAACUGGAGAACUGCCUCGGAUACUGGGUGCCUCGAGGGUGGUAGGGGUAUGCGGAACUAUCGGUGGAGCGGUGAAAUGCGUUGAUAUCGAUAGGAACUCCGGUGGCGAAGGCGGCAUACUGGACCACAUCUGACGCUGAGGCGCGAAAGCGUGGGGAGCAAACAGG